ACGAGAAUAUUCCGCAAUGGGCGAAAGCCUGACGGAGCGACGCCGCGUGAUUGAUGAAGUGCUUCGGUACGUAAAGAUCUUUUAUCGGGGACGAAGUUAUUGACGGUACCCGAUGAAUAAGGGGCUCCUAACUCUGUGCCAGCAGGAGCGGUAAUACAGAGGCCCCAAGCAUUACCCGGAAUCACUGGGCGUAAAGGGUGUCUAGGCGGCCAUAUUAGUCUUUCGUUAAAUGUCCGGGCUUAACCUGGUCACCGCGAAGGAAACGGUAUGGCUCGAGGGCGCAAGAGGUGCAUGGAACUCAUGGUGGAGGGGUGAAAUCCGUUGAUAUCAUGGGGAACACCAAAGGCGAAGGCAGUGCACUGGUGCGUUCCUGACGCUCAAACACGAAAGCCAGGGUAGCGAACGGGAUUAGAUACCCCCGUAGUCC
rnacentral:rRNA from 1 species